GCGGAGGAAAAGAAACCAACAGGGAUUGCCUUAGUAACGGCGAGUGAAGCGGCAACAGCUCAAAUUUGAAAGCUGGCCCUUUUAGGGUCCGCGUUGUAAUUUGUAGAGGAUGAUUCGGCGAGGGCUCCUGCCUAAGUCCCCUGGAACGGGGCGUCAUAGAGGGUGAGAAUCCCGUAUGCGGUAGGUUGCCUUAGCCAUGUGAAUCUCCUUCGACGAGUCGAGUUGUUUGGGAAUGCAGCUCUAAAUGGGAGGUAAAUUUCUUCUAAAGCUAAAUACUGGCCAGAGACCGAUAGCGCACAAGUAGAGUGAUCGAAAGAUGAAAAGCACUUUGGAAAGAGAGUUAAAAAGUACGUGAAAUUGUUGAAAGGGAAGCGCUUGCAACCAGACUUGUCCGCAGUUGCUCAGCCGGUCUCCUGACCGGCGUACUCUUCUGCGGCCAGGCCAGCAUCAGUUCGGGCGGUCGGAUAAAGGCCUCGGGAAUGUAGCUCCUCUCGGGGAGUGUUAUAGCCCGGGGUGGAAUGCGACCAGCCUGGACUGAGGAUCUCGCUUCGGCAAGGAUGCUGGCGUAAUGGUUGUAAGCGGCCCGUCUUGAAACACGGACCAAGGAGUCUAACAUCUAUGCGAGUGUUCGGGUGUCAAACCCGUACGCGUAAUGAAAGUGAACGGAGGUGGGAACCCGCAAGGGUGCACCAUCGGCCGAUCCUGAUGUCUUCGGAUGGAUUUGAGCAAGAGCAUAGCUGUUGGGACCCGAAAGAUGGUGAACUAUGCCUGAAUAGGGUGAAGCCAGAGGAAACUCUGGUGGAGGCUCGCAGCGGUUCUGACGUGCAAAUCGAUCGUCAAAUUUGGGUAUAGGGGCGAAAGACUAAUCGAACCAUCUAGUAGCUGGUUCCUGCCGAAGU
rnacentral:sRNA from 1 species